rnacentral:rRNA from 1 species
UACGUAGGGGGCAAGCGUUGUCCGGAUUUAUUGGGCGUAAAGAGCGUGUAGGCGGCCAUACAGGUCCGUUGUGAAAACUGGAGGCUUAACCUCCAGACGUCGAUGGAAACCGUAUGGCUAGAGUCCGGAAGAGGAGAGUGGAAUUCCUGGUGUAGCGGUGGAAAUGCGCAGAUAUCAGGAAGAACACCAGUGGCGAAGGCGGCUCACUGGACUGGUACUGACGCUGAUGCGCGAAAGCGUGGGGAGCAAACAGG